rnacentral:piRNA from 1 species
UAAUCCAUUCUUGGGUUAAUGAAAGUGUCU